GGGGGGAAGAGAGGAGGGGGAGUACUGCCUCUCUCCCUUCAGUCCUUGGGAGGGCGGUGCAAAAAAGUGGGGUGGGUGUUCCCCUAAGCUGUGUGAGGUUCCUGGCGGCGAAAGGUAGACGGGUAGGUGGGUGAAGAGGGGGCGACAGGUAGACGGGUAGGUGGGCGAUGGGCAGAUGGGGAGGUGGGUGAAGAGGGGGCGACAGGUAGACGGGUAGGUGGGCGAUGGGCAGAUGGGGAGGUGGGUGAAGAGGGGAAGGUGAGCAGGUCCAGGUAAGGUAAGUGGGGAGGAAAGGCGUGCGUUUUUAGCUACGAGAGAAGCGACGGGCGUGUUGCAGAAGGGAAGGGCGAAGGGGAGGGAGGAGUCAGGUCAGCACAAUACUUUCCCUCACGUUCAUGCCCUCCCCCCUUCCUUCCGUCCUUCCUAACCCUCUUAAAAGCCAUUACCUCAGCAUCUUUUUAAUAGCCCUCUAAGGUACAUUUAUUUCAUCCAUAUAAGAAUUCCCCUGGAGUCAUGAUGCAACACCAGUAGCAGUUAAAAGGGGUUCUAUACAAGCGGGAGAGUUACGAUUAAUAAAAGUAAUAGCAUGUGUGUAUUCUUCAGUGGUACAUAAUCGUGCAUGACCUGAUUUCGAGGCUAAGCGCAGCAUCCAACAGCUAAUAACAAGUGACUGAAGCAAACGUGUAAUUAGCCUGUCGAGGACCUGCAGCGAGACAAACUUAACAUUAACUCCAGUGACAUUAAACUUCCUCUUACACGCUCGUUAUUCCUAUUCCUACUCUCAUCCUCACACAGGUAUUAUUAUCACCACCUGGAGUCGGGAUGUGAACAAUUAACUGCUUAAAACAAAGGGUUGGCACGCAGCAGGAACCUCCCUCACGACCCUGCCGACGCCUGCCCUUCCUGCCGGCCCCCUCCCCUGCCUUCCCUACCUCCCGCUGGUGCAGAUACGCUCCGCUGCCCCUGCUUGCAUCACCUGCCUCUGCCUCCCCUGCCAAUACCCCUAACCAAGCAUGCCCUACCCCCUACCCCUGCCCCUUCCCUCUCGACCGUUCCUCUGCUUGCGUAUGUGUUUCUCCCUUCCUCCUCAGCCAAUACCCCUGUCCAAGCAUACCCUACCCCUGGCCCCCCUUCCCUCUGGACCGUUCCUCUGCUUGCGUAUGUGUUUCUCCUUUCCUCCUUCUCCCUUUCGGCCUUCACCUGCGGCCUGCAUAUUCAUUCCUCAUCAGCAUGUUAAAUGUAGCCUAUAGUUCCCCUCCCGCCUCGUUCCCGGUCCAGGCGUGCCCAUCCCCGGCCUGGCGGCGUGAGGUCAGGCCAUUCACAACGUCCAAGGUGAAAGUAGUACUGGUGGAGGCGUAAGAUGCACCCCUCCCUCCUCCCUCGGGUUGCUGCCAUCUCCUCCUCCUCCUCCUCCUCCUCUUCUUCGUGUUCCUCCUUUACUUAUUAUUAUUCUCCUCCUACGCUGACCUUUUCUGUUUACUCCUUGCCUUGCCUUCCCGUUCCUCUCCUCUCCUUCCCACACGUAUUUCAUCCCCUUUGCCCUCCUCCUCCUCCUCCCUCUCUCCCAAGUGGCCCUCUUCGUCCUUCUCUUCCCUUUUUUUUUUCUCCUUCUCUCACGAUCGUUUGAAGGCACAGAUUUUAAUUUUUAUUUCAUCGGGAGAGCCAACAAGUUCUCUCUCUCUCUCUCUCUCUCUCUCUCUCUCUCUCUCUCUCUCUCU